UCUCACGUUCUUUGCGCGCGUCUUCUCUUUCGUUUCUCAUUUCUUCUCCUAUGCUUCACGUCUUCUCUUAGUUCUCUCUUGGCGCGUCUUCAAAUUAUUAAAACGAGAAAAGGUCUGGUUUGGUCCAAUUGCGAUACAACAUUUUCCAAUCGGAGGAACUAACUAAGAAGAACUGAAGUGAAAAAGCAGAGAGGAGAAGAGAAGAGAAAGUCGCAUGCAUCGACGGCAGCGGACCUUGCUCGGCGCGCGGCGCAGAAGGAGAGGAUUCGAGGAAAACCUCCGCGAGAGGUUCGAGGAAAACAAACACGUGGAAGAUCCUGAUACAAUUGAUAGGCUCAUAGCGGAUGCUGAAGCCUCCUACAAAGUGGCGUCAUCCAGAUCCUUACACAGCCUAGGUACUUAUCACCUUGGCAAAGUUGCCUUUAAUAUCAGAGGUUAAAGGCAAACUGGAAAAGUGUACAAGAAUGUGAAGAGGAAGAUUGAGAGAAGUGUUGCUUUUCCAACAUGUUUAUCAGUAAACAACGUUGUUUGCCAUUUCUCCCCUCUAGCCAGUGACGAGGCAGUUUUGGAAGAAGGUGAUAUAUUGAAAAUUGAUAUGGCUUGUCAUAUAGAUGGUUUCUUUGCUGCGGUGGCUCACACCCAUGUACUUCAGGAUGGUCCUGUUACAGGAAGGGCAGCCAAUGUCAUUGCCGCUGCAAAUACUGCUGCAGAGGUGGCCUUGAGGCUUGUCAGACCAGGAAAGAAGACAUAUGCAGGAGGCUCUGUUGGUGGUGCUCUAAAAUUGAACCAUGGAGUAUGCGAUAUUGCAAUAAAUUGGGCUGGUGGUCUGCAUCAUGCAAAGAAGUGUGAGGCUUCUGGGUUUUGCUAUGUUAAUGACAUUGUGCUGGCUAUUUUGGAACUUCUCAAAAUACAUGAGGUUUCCCAAAUUUAAUUUCCCACAUUAUAUCAUUGAUUUAUGACUAUUCUCAUUUUAAUUCAGGUUGAAUUUAUUCCUUAUAGGACCAACAACUGUAAUUGAUUUCAAAACUGGAAGUGUAUUUUAGAAUAAAGAAGUGAGUACGGUCUAGAGAAAAAAUGGUUAUGCAGAUGGGUUACAAUAGCCUAGUGGUUUGUGGUAGCCUAGUGGUUGGUGGUUAUGCAAACUGCAUUCUUCACCUUUGGUUUUAUCUCUUUUUAUUAACAGAAGCGAUUACGUGGACCCCUCAACCUAUUAGUCAUACAAAAAGUUAUUCAGUGGGCAGAGCUACUUGACUUAUUUGCGCUUUCUGUCUAUCUGAUCCUAUACUCACUCAUUGAUACUGCUCAAAUUCUUCUAAUUUCUUAUCUUUUACACUGGAUCACAGUCUUCAGAUUAUUGUUUGUUUUUAUUUUUGCAGUGAUAGUUUUGACUCAACUAGUGCACUUGAGAAUUCUUUAAAUGCCAAAGAAAAGCAAAUCUCUGAAUUGAACUUGGAACUACACAAUAUUGAAACAACCUUAUCUAAUGAAAGAGAUGAACACAUGAAUGAUGUCAAGAAACUUACUGCAAUGCUCAAUGAAAAGGUAAUAUUAUGGUUUGCAAAAGUCUACAUCAGAUCUCCUUAAUGAUAUUUGGUGGCAUUUUAAGUUAUUGUGGUUUAUGAAUAUGCAUAUAUUUUGAUCCAAUAUAAUGUUUCAAAUUGUACAAGUCCCACAGUAAAUGCAUUUCAGUUAAUAUAUUAGCAAUUCCGUCUGCAUCAUUUCAUGGCACAUAGUUUUGUUCUUUCAUGUUCAUGAGACUCUGAAACUACUUUUUAACUAUUCCUGUCACAAAAUUCUCAAUUCAAAUUGUGGUUUGGUAUUUAGGUCUGUGAACCUUCACUUUAAUUCUCCUUGUCUUGCAAAAGAUACUAAGAUACUAUAUGAUAAUUUCUAAUGCCAAUGUCUUGUGUUAAUCUGUUUGUUGGAACGAGAUAUUCAAAAAGAUAAAAGAAAUGGAAAAGAAUGCUUCUGAAGGCAGUCUUGCUGAAGGUGGGGUAGAAAAGGGCUACGCAUCUGGGUCUGAUAUGUUUGGUUUCUCCAAUCCUAAGGUGCUUAAACUUAUACAGGUAUGUUGUUUAAUUAUAAGUUAGUUCUUUUAUUUUUUAUCUGGAGCAUAAAGUCAAUAAUUUGGAAACUAAUAGAAUUAUCCUGAAAAUAUUAUAAUUUAUUUCACGUAAGACAUAGUAAGCAGUAAAAUGUUUUGUUUUUGAUAUAACUGAACGGUGUUAUCAAUUCAUAUAGUAGGAUAGAACACAUUAUCAAUUGAUUGUUUUAGUCGUUAUUGAUUAUUUAUAUUAUAUUCUGGGAUUGAAUUUUAUGCAGGUAUGAAUAUGGAUAGUAACAAAUAUAAAUCUAAUAUUAAAAAUAAACUUAACUUUUUACACUGGUUCAAGUCAUAUCAUGUAUAAAAUGUUUUGUUUUUUUCACAUCUGUUCUGGUACCAACAGGUAUAAAAGACAAAAUUACUGUAAAAAAAUGAAAAUUUUCUA